rnacentral:rRNA from 1 species
UAGGGAAUCUUCGGCAAUGGACGGAAGUCUGACCGAGCAACGCCGCGUGAGUGAAGAAGGUUUUCGGAUCGUAAAGCUCUGUUGUAAGAGAAGAACGAGUGUGAGAGUGGAAAGUUCACACUGUGACGGUAUCUUACCAGAAAGGGACGGCUAACUACGUGCCAGCAGCCGCGGUAAUACGUAGGUCCCGAGCGUUGUCCGGAUUUAUUGGGCGUAAAGCGAGCGCAGGCGGUUAGAUAAGUCUGAAGUUAAAGGCUGUGGCUUAACCAUAGUAAGCUUUGGAAACUGUUUAACUUGAGUGCAAGAGGGGAGAGUGGAAUUCCAUGUGUAGCGGUGAAAUGCGUNNNUAUGCGUAGAUAUAUGGAGGAACACCGGUGGCGAAAGCGGCUCUCUGGCUUGUAACUGACGCUGAGGCUCGAAAGCGUGGGGAGCAAACAGGAUUAGAUACCCUGGUAGUCCACGCUGUAAACGAUGAGUGCUAGGUGUUAGACCCUUUCCGGGGUUUAGUGCCGUAGCUAACGCAUUAAGCACUCCGCCUGGGGAGUACGACCGCAAGGUUG